GCAUCGGUAGUGCAGCGGUUCGAGCACGCGCCCUCCGAUCGGGUGAACUGCGGGUUCAAGUCCUACCUGGUGCA